CGCGCUUUGUUCAAACAGUGCGCCAAUAACGACAGCCCGACACUGGCAUGAGAACGACAUGAACAGCAUAACCGUGAGGCGGGUACGACAUUGCAUGAAUUUACAAAUACAAAUUGCAAAUACAAGCACGAAAUUCAUUAAACAAGUUGGACGUUGAACGGUGAACAUCAACAAUCCAAACUAAUUCAACACAAGGUAAUAGUUGGUGUAUAGAAACUCUUCAAUUGGCCUUGAGUCCCGAAGAGUACGAAUGUAAACAUGAUGGUCGAAUUUAAGGAUUCCCAGCAUGUAUCCACGUACGUUUGGAGUUUUCAAAACCGUGGGCCGUGCGCGUCACAGUGUGUUUAUGCAUGUGUGUAUUCGCGAACGGAACUCAAGCGCACCGCAACGAAAGAGAAGAAAAUGCCUCCCCGAGGAACUCUGAAAUAGAUGAAGGGUUGGAACAUAUUUUCGAGCAUUUUGGGAAUAGCCUCGGCUUGGCGCGUCGUGACGCAGAUAAAGAUAUCUAUAUAUGUACUGCCUUGGAAAUGCUCGCAUCAUAGGGAUAUUGAAAAAUACUGUGUUUACCCAAGGUGAGGUGCUUUCAGGAGAUACCUGUAUUCACCGCAAAAUAAAAUAAUAAAAAAUACUUUAAAUUUAAUAAAGAAACACGGUGAUAUGCUGUAAUGCAGCAUAAACAUUUUAGAGGUAAUUUUUUUUUGUUGAUUUUUUUAAAUAUUAUUUACACACAAUUUUUAUUGUUAUUUUAUUAUUUAAAGUAAUGGUAUUUGCACCAAAACUGAAACAUUUGAUCUUAAUUACACCCAUUGCAAAUCG